GAGCCAAUCAGAUUAAAGUAUUUUUGGCGCCGUCCUCGGAAACGGUCUGGGCGCGAAAUUCACUUCUCCACACAAAUCUGAGGUAAACCCGAGUCCGUGUUUAAUCUGAAGUGAGAAAAGAAAGCCACUGGAGCUGCGAGCAUCAUUUUGAGCACAGAAGAUGUCAACUAAAACUCAACAAAGCAUCCGGAUAUUCCUCAUUAGUGGAAAGUCCCCUAAAAAGUCCGGGUUGCAGGAUGCUUGUCCAGAGAAAGUGGCGAAAAGGGUAGGCCCAUUGUUGUGUUUGGGUGGGGGGUUGGAAAUGUCACUCUUGCCUGUCUUCAAAACUUGAGAGCCCUGCCUCAGAGAUGUUUAUAGUGUAAAAACAUCUGAAUUAAUUUAUUAUUAUGAAUGAUUAAAGAGAUAUGCAGUA